AUUGAACGCUGGCGGCAUGCCUUACACGUGCAAGUCGAACGGCAGCGCGGGGCAACCUGGCGGCGAGUGGCGAACGGGUGAGUAAUAUAUCGGAACGUACCCUGGAGUGGGGGAUAACGUAGCGAAAGUUACGCUAAUACCGCAUACGAUCUAAGGAUGAAAGUGGGGGAUUCGCAAGAACCUCAUGCUCCUGGAGCGGC
rnacentral:rRNA from 1 species